rnacentral:rRNA from 1 species
AAAAACAUGUCCUAUUGUUGAUUAUAUAUUAGGUCUAACCUGCCCAAUGAUUAAAUUUAAUGGCCGCGGUAUAUUAACUGUGCUAAGGUAGCAUAAUCAUUUGUCUUUUAAUUAAAGGCUAGAAUGAAUGGUUGGACGAGGUAAAAGCUUUCUUUAUUUUAAUUUAUUAAUUUAAUUUUUUGGUUAAAAAGCUAAAAUGUAUUUGAGGGACGAGAAGACCCUAUAGAUCUUUAUAUAUUUAAGUAUUAUUAUAUGUAGUUAAUUUUUUGUUUUAAUAAUUAAUUAUAUUUGAUUGGGGCGAUUGUAGAAUUUAAAUUAACUUCUAUUUAUUAUUUAUCAUUAAUUAAUGUUUAAUUGAUCCAUUUUUAUUGAUUAUAAGAUUAAGUUACCUUAGGGAUAACAGCGUAAUUUUUUCG